rnacentral:rRNA from 1 species
GACGAACCGUGCAAACGUUAUUCGGAAUCACUGGGCAUAAAGGGCGCGUAGGCGGCUUUCUAAGUCAGGGUGAAAUCCGGCAGCUCAACUGUCGCAGUGCCUUUGAUACUGGAGAGCUCGAGGGAGGUAGGGGUCUGUGGAACUUCCGGUGGAGCGGUGAAAUGCGUUGAUAUCGGAAGGAACGCCGGUGGCGAAAGCGACGGACUGGAUCUCUUCUGACGCUGAGGCGCGAAAGCCAGGGGAGCAAACGGG